UAAGUUUCUAUACCUCAAAAACACGUUACAGAACCUCCGUCGGCAAAAGCUAGAGGAUCUUUCACCCUUAGCCAUCCAUCUCAAAAGGGACUUCACCUCAGAACCUCCAUCAACCUCCGACUCUGCCACCAUCCCGCCGUCAACCUCCGCAGUAGAACCUUGAUUUUCUUUUUUCUUCACCCAGAAACUUUAUCUCCUCCGCCAGAAACAACCACCUCCUUCUAUUAAUCCAAGCUCCACAUUUUCAAAUAGUCCCAAAAUUCUAGGAUUUUUUCUCGACUAAGCUCGACUACCACUUCUUGUUCUCACAGAGCCCUAAUUCUAGGUUUUUGCUCGAUUCUAGCGAAUUUUCAGUUUUACAUUGCAUGCUCUUCAUUUAUUCCUUUUGCAAUUUCUCAAUAGUUGAGCCAUAAUUUGCAGAUUCCAUUAGUGAAGAAGAAAUUGCAACUGAUAGCUGUGGGAUAAAUCGCGAGAACUGUUUUGGCAGACUUACGAGUACCGUAACUCAGCUAUAUUUUCUGUUAUAACCUUAGCUUUUGGUGGUUUAUUGGAGCUUGAACAUCCAAGUUUGUGCAGGAUAUUUAUGGAUUACGGUGAUAAAAGUUGGAUGAAUCUCCUAACAUGGACGGAUGAGUAUAUCUGUGGAGUGAAUAAUUUUCUUGAUAGGGCAUUUGAACGAGCCGUCCAAGGAAAUGAAAUAUUAUGCCCUUGCAAAAAGUGCAUUAAUAGCUAUUGGCAUUAUAGAAAUGUGGUGGAGGAUCAUUUGAUUGUUCAUGGGUUUGUUGAUAGUUAUACCAAAUGGGUUUUCCACGGGGAAGGAUUUUUCUCGAGAAAUACACCUCAUCCAAGCAAUGAUGAUGAAGGUUCUAAGAUGCAUGACGAUAUUGAUGGACUACUUCAUGAUAUAUUUAGAAAUAUAGAGGGUUGGGCAGGGGAUGAAGGAGGAGUUGGGGAAAGACUAUCUGAAGAUGCAAAGAAAUUUUUCAAAUUACUGGAGGAAGGAAAGCAAGAGUUAUAUCCGGGGUGUGAAAAUUUUAGUAAACUGAGUUUCACUAUUCGGUUGCACUUGAUGAUACUGAUCGGGACUGAAUGGAAGCACAUGAUUAAAUAAGAAAAUUCUGAAAUUCUUUUAAGUGUAUUCUUUUUUGAGAUUUGGGAUCUGGUAACAUUAUUGUAGAUACUGAAUUAAUUGAGAGAGAUUUGGGAUCCUUUUGUUCGGUUGUUGUGGCCCGACCCUUCUCCAACAUCCUCUUCUGGUUUAGCUGUGAUACAUUUUGAGAUCUGAAGGUGAUCGUUUAUACCUUAAGUCUUUGUCUCUUCUUGAAUCUUUGCAACUAUUUGAGAACCAGUUUUCUGAAUCUGAAAAAGAUUUGAAUACUCAUGAAUCAAGAAGGGUGCUCAAUCAAAAGCAAGAAAAUAUCCAAUCGCAUUCCAGCUGGAUCACUUGCAUCUUUGCGAAAUCAAAGGGUUUCGUCGUUGACAAGAAAAAGAACCUUUCAAGCUACAAGUUCAAAUGAAAAUGAAGAACGACAAUUAGAAGCUGGAUUACCUUCAUCUUUGCGAAACCAAAAGGUUUCGUCGUUGCCAACAAAAAGAGUCUUGAAAGCUAUAAGGUCAAAUGAAAAUGAAGAACGACAAUCCGAAUUAGGAUCUCAAUUGCAAGAACAAGUGCAGCAAGUGCCACAGAAUUCUACCUCUUCAGCAGCACAAGGAGUACAUGAACAAGUGCAACAAGCGAAUAUGGAUUCCAUCACUCCUGCAUCACAGGCAGUACAUGAAUGACCUGAGGAUUCUACCAAUCAUGAAGCAAUUGAACAAUUUGAGGAACAAG